AUAGUAACUCCAAUUGUUAUGGAAGCGCGUCGUUUCUGAUUUAGGGAUCAACACGUUCUUCAUCUCCCCCAUUCGAGAGCUAAUCUCAACCUAAGGUUUCCAUGGCGUUGUUUCAUCUUCUUCCUAACAAUCCGAGAAGCUAUCAGUUACAGAUUCAUCUGCUUAAAUCCACCAUCCACGAUCUACCUUGAAUGCGAUCUUCACGCAAGGCCGUGGAACCUCGACUAUAAAAAGACCGGACGAGUACGGUACAGUAGGAGGAGGAAAGCGGUAGCGACGGAGGAGAGGAGGAUCAAGGCAAUGAGGGACCAGCCGUGUCCGGUUUAUUGUAAUUUUCCCGUCCCUUAAAACUCAUGUUCAUCAUUAUUUUGAACACACAUGGUGAUCAGAUUCAUAUUUAUCAGAAUUAUUCUUUUUGUAUAUUUCCUCUUUGCAAUAUGAUUUGAAUCUGUUGUUUAUUAUUAUUUUCCUCAUUCCAGUGUUCAUCGUCUUCCCAUAUACAAGCGACUGGGUUCUAUGUUUUACUUAAAACUCUCGUGUUCACUUAAGACUUCAUUAUAUUCAGCUCCAUAUGCCUUUCAAGUUCUUUCUUUUGUUUAAGGCAGACACCGCUGAAGGUGCAGAGAUGUAUAAGGUCAUCAAAGAGACUACUAAUCACCCAAGGGUGAAGUUCACAGAUUUUGAAUGUGGUCUGGUGGGUGCUCUGAAGAAUUGUGUUGUAUCAGCUGUAGCUUAGCUGCUUGGUGGAGCUUUUUUGGGUGUGAUAAAGCUGUGAGAUCUAGAAGAAACAAAGAGUUAGUUGAUAAUCAGUGAACAUCAAAAUAAAUAGUCAGUUUUAGAUUGUUGGAAGGGUAAGUGUUCUUUUAUGUUUAAUAAAGUGACCACCCGAAUCUAGAGAUCAAUGAACAUUGAUGAAUAUGAUUCUUGCAACUCUCUAUUCUGUUAUAGUUUCUCUUAUUUAUUGCUGCAAGUCCCAUGCUAUGCAUGAGUUUAGUACCAAAGC